rnacentral:lncRNA from 1 species
CGGCUGGCNNNNNNNNNNNNNNNNNNNNAUCCAAAACAUAGCACCCUACCAGCUACUAGGAGGAAAAAUUAACUCUGUCCUAACUGGAACCAGGACACACACCAAUGAAUCUUCUUGUAGACUUAGAAUCCAUUUGUUUGCUGAUUAGUUUUCCAGGGAGUUGACAUUGGAUGUUCUCAGUUCCAUGGUUCCUCACGCAAAUCGUACGUGUGAACGACAGUGGAGCUACAGGACUUUGCAACAGUGAUGAUGGAGUAGUAACUGGAAGAACUGACAAUAUAAGUAUAGGGAACUUGCUGUGGUGCAGGAUUUGAUCCUGCACCCUCCCUGAAGCCCUCAGAAAAUGAAGCCCGUUCCAGGGGCCGCUGCACCGUCCCGCGGUCCCAGGCCGCAGCCCCACCGCUUCUCAGUGUCCUG